rnacentral:rRNA from 1 species
CCUACGGGUGGCAGCAGUGGGGAAUAUUGGACAAUGGGCGAAAGCCUGAUCCAGCCAUGCCGCGUGUGUGAAGAAGGCCUUCGGGUUGUAAAGCACUUUCAGUGGGGAAGAAAGCCUUGGGGCUAAUACCCUCGAGGAAGGACAUCACCCACAGAAGAAGCACCGGCUAACUCCGUGCCAGCAGCCGCGGUAAUACGGAGGGUGCGAGCGUUAAUCGGAAUUACUGGGCGUAAAGCGCGCGUAGGCGGUCUGAUAAGCCGGUUGUGAAAGCCCCGGGCUCAACCUGGGAACGGCAUCCGGAACUGUCAGGCUAGAGUGCAGGAGAGGAAGGUAGAAUUCCCGGUGUAGCGGUGAAAUGCGUAGAGAUCGGGAGGAAUACCAGUGGCGAAGGCGGCCCUCUGGACUGACACUGACGCUGAGGUGCGAAAGCGUGGGUAGCAAACAGGAUUAGAUACCCGUGUAGUC